CUUCAGGCCUUCAAAUAUGUGAAAUCUCUAGAAUUUUAUGAUUUUAUGUCGCUUAUGUUUGCACCUCAACUAAAAUUGUUAGGAGCCUGAGAAGCUUGUCUAGAAGGUGAAUUGCUUCCUAAUUCCCAUUCCAUUUUUUACUCUUUACUCUAUUGAAUUGAUAAACUAAUUUAUUGAUUUUGUCAAUCUAUUCAAUUUAAACGCAUUGGGAUUGUACUUAGGAUUUCAUUCCCUACCGAUCCAAGGAUCUUAAACAGAGAUAUUGCAGUUAUUACUUUGAGGGG
rnacentral:misc_RNA from 1 species